UACGUAGGGUGCAAGCGUUUGUCCGGAAUUAUUGGGCGUAAAGAGCUCGUAGGCGGUCUGUCGCGUCUGCUGUGAAAACUCGGGGCUUAACCCUGGGCCUGCAGUGGGUACGGGCAGACUAGAGUGCGGUAGGGGAGACUGGAAUUCCUGGUGUAGCGGUGAAAUGCGCAGAUAUCAGGAGGAACACCGGUGGCGAAGGCGGGUCUCUGGGCCGUAACUGACGCUGAGGAGCGAAAGCGUGGGGAGCGAACAGG
rnacentral:rRNA from 1 species